rnacentral:rRNA from 1 species
UACGUAGGGCGCAAGCGUUGUCCGGAAUUAUUGGGCGUAAAGAGCUCGUAGGCGGUUUGUCGCGUCUGCCGUGAAAACCCGAGGCUUAACCUCGUGGCUUGCGGUGGAUACGGGCAGACUAGAGGUAGGUAGGGGAGAAUGGAAUUCCCGGUGUAGCGGUGAAAUGCGCAGAUAUCGGGAGGAACACCGGUGGCGAAGGCGGUUCUCUGGACCGCCACUGACGCUGAGACACGAAAGCGUGGGUAGCAAACAGG